rnacentral:rRNA from 1 species
UACAGAGGUCCCAAGCGUUGUUCGGAUUCACUGGGCGUAAAGGGUGCGUAGGUGGUGGGGUAAGUCGGAUGUGAAAUCUCCGAGCUCAACUCGGAAAUUGCAUUGGAAACUACCCUGCUUGAGGGUCGGAGGGGGGACUGGAAUUCUCGGUGUAGCAGUGAAAUGCGUAGAUAUCGAGAGGAACACCAGUGGCGAAGGCGAGUCCCUGGACGACUCCUGACACUGAGGCACGAAAGCUAGGGGAGCAAACAGU